AGAAGUAUCAUACGUCAUGAGUCUUAAGCAGUAGGGAAUGAUAAGACACAUUUUCUCCCAUCCUUGUCUAGAGUGACUUUGCGUAUAGGGCGUAGGCCCUAUCUAUUCAAAGCACUUGCCCUUAUUCAUAGACUUUAGUGUGAUCCUCGUCAAUCAAAUGUCAAGUCUUUCUCUCUUCAUCAUUACAACAAUAAAGAUUCUCCCUCUCAAUCAAAUUGGAAGUUAAAAUGAGAAUUACAUGCCACGAGCCUUAAGUAGUAAAGAAGGAAUGUGACUGAAG
rnacentral:lncRNA from 1 species